AGAUUGAACGCUGGCGGCAGGCCUAACACAUGCAAGUCGAGCGGUAGAGAGGUGCUUGCACCUCUUGAGAGCGGCGGACGGGUGAGUAAUGCCUAGGAAUCUGCCUAGUGGUGGGGGAUAACGUUCGGAAACGGACGCUAAUACCGCAUACGUCCUACGGGAGAAAGGCGGGGGACCUUCGGGCCUCGCGCCAUUAGAUGAGCCUAGGUCGGAUUAGCUAGUUGGUGCGGUAAUGGCUCA
rnacentral:rRNA from 1 species